CGCAGUCUCAGCUGCAGACACACCCUGAAGGCCGCCCCUGGCUGACUGGGAGCUGGCUCCUUCCCCGUGCAGUCCCACAACAGGGAGGACUGGAGCACAAACUCAGGUCUCCCUCGGCCCUCUUCUCCCUCCCACUGUGGGCCAAACGCGGUGCAGAAGGCCUGAGGAGCCCAAGCACUGAUAUCCAGGUGCCAUCUGCUGAGCUAACAGAAACCAGCUGGUUGCUGGGUUCUACAAAGGGAAGCUUACAGCAAACUGAAAGCAUACUCAUUCUGGUGGUGCCCAAAGCACAGACUCCAUCACCACUGCAAAGAACAAGACCUGAGGAUGUUACAGCCAACACACUGAGGGAGGUGAUCCUGCCCCUCUACUCUGCGCUGGUGAGGCCUCACCUGGAGUAUUGCAUCCAGAUGUGGAGUCCUCAGUACAGGAGAGACAUAGACCUGAGUGUGUCCAGAGGAUGGCAGCAAAAAUGAUCCAAGUGAUGUGACACCUCUCCUACAAGGACAGGCUGUGAGAGCUGGGGCUGCUCCAGGUAGACUUGGUAGCGACCUUUCAGUAUCUAAAGAGGGGCUGAAAGAAAGAAAGGGACAGACUCUUUAGCAGGGUUUUUAGCUUUUGAGAUAGGACAGGCAGAAAUUAUUUCAAACUAAGAGAUUUAGAAGGGAUAUAAGAAAAAAUGUUUUUUAUGAUAGGGUUAGUGAAACAGUGAAAUAGGUUGCCCCAGGAUGUGGUGGAGGAGUGGUCCCUAGAGACACUGAAGGUCAGACUGGAUGGGACUCUGAGCAACCUGAUAUAGCUGUAGAUGUCUGUUUGUUGCAAGGAAGUUAGACUAGAUGACCUUUAAAGGUCCCUUCUAACUCAACUCCUACACUUCCACAUUCAAUUUCCUUCUGCUUAGAAAAUUCUGUUGUUCUAUCAGAUGUCUUUGAAAUAGUCCAAGUCACAUCUGUCAAGCACAUUCUAAGUUUUUGUCUUUGAAUAGUAACACCCAGCAGAUGUGCUUUUAAGUAAGGUAUUAACCAACCUCUGCUCUUAGCUUGAAAAAAGCAUCUUCCAGCUCUGACACUGCACUGUCCAGAUGAAAAAUCUGAUGCAUGCCUCUAUAAUUGAAAGGAAAAAAAAAAAAAGCAAUAUGAAGCAACCAAUAUGGUCUUUGUUUAACAAGUCCUCCAGAAAGCAACUUUUGUAAAUAGACCUGACUGAGAAUUCCUCUGAACUGCAGUUUGGAAAUUCUAGCUGCAGGCCACAUCUAUUUUCCUGAUUAGGUUUUCUAAAUCUUUUACUUUGUAACAGCUGUUGACAACAUAAACACUAAUUGCACCUCUGAACAACAGUCGUCUCUUUUGAACUGUUUGGUACAUAAUGAAAAUAGACUGCAGAGAUAAGAAAACAAUCUUCAAAUCUUCUUAUUCUGCUCACAACUCAAUUCGAAAGGUUUAUCCUUUGCUGACAUUAAUGUGUACUUUUGAUAAUAGGUGAAAAUUACUUCACAAUUACUUCAAAAGCAGUAAUUAUGUUUUAGAAACUAUACCUAACUUCUACUUAGAUUUGUUUACUUUUGUCCCCAUUCUCACUAAGGAAAUGAUAUUGUCAGACUACUGGCAGACCUCUAAAAUGAAGUGGGAAGGCUCAUUUCUAUUGCUAUCAACCUCCAUUUCUCUUCUAAGCAUUUCUGCAGCAGCAUAUUUGAGAAGUCCUUGAAGGAAAAAAGGCAGAAUUUAAUGAAUGACAGUAUUUCCAGGACAGCAAUCAAUUUCAACAGCAUGAAAUUCCUUUACUUUUCCAGUCAGAAAAAUAAGUGUACUUUACAGAUCUUUUCAAGUGUAAAUACGGGUCUCUAAGAUUAUCUAGUUGAUUAAUAAUUACAUUGGACUAGUUUUUCUAGCCAAGCAGCUCUUGGUCUAACCAAAAUAAUAAUUUUCCCAAUAAACUUUGCCUUACUUACAGCU
ensembl:lncRNA